rnacentral:tRNA from 1 species
GCCGCCGUAGCUCAGCUGGGAGAGCGCCCGGCUGAAGACCGGGAAGUCGGGGGUUCAAGUCCCCCCGGCGGCACCA